rnacentral:rRNA from 1 species
UUGCAUAUUUCAAAAGCGGAGGAAAAGAAACCAACAGGGAUUGCCUCAGUAGCGGCGAGUGAAGCGGCAAGAGCUCAGAUUUGAAAUCUCACCUAGUGUGCGAGUUGUAAAUUGCAGGUUGGAGUCUCGGGUUAGACGUGUGUGCAAGUCCCUUGGAACAGGGUGCCACUGAGGGUGAGAGCCCCGUAGCGUGCAUGUCGACACCUGUGAGGCCCUUCUGACGAGUCGAGUUGUUUGGGAAUGCAGCUCUAAGUGGGUGGUAAAUUCCAUCUAAGGCUAAAUAUUGGCGAGAGACCGAUAGCGAACAAGUACUGUGAAGGAAAGAUGAAAAGCACUUUGAAAAGAGAGUGAAACAGCACGUGAAAUUGUUGAAAGGGAAGGGUAUUGGGCUCGACAUGGGAUUUACGCAUCGUUGCCUCUCGUGGGCGGCGCUCUGGGUUUUUCCUGGGCCAGCAUCGGUUUUCGUUGCAGGAUAAGGACAAUUGGAAUGUGGCUCCUCGGAGUGUUAUAGCCUUUUGUAGAUGCUGCGUAUGGGGACCGAGGGCUGCGGCGGACUCGCUCUCUCGAUGCUGCACCUCUACCC